rnacentral:lncRNA from 1 species
UCAAUUUGAUGUAGUGCUGUCAUUAAAACUAUGAGUACAGGAAAUCAAUCCAAUAAAAAAUCAAACAGAAUUCACAAACAAUUGAUGAUAUACCUGGACAAGUCCAUGAAGUGUCAGCUUGGCCUCAUCGUCAACAUAAAUUUCCAUCGGCUGAAAGCAACAAAUUUCACAAUAAAGCAUGUUAGGGUCGUUCUUCAAGCUUAAUGCAAUCCAAAAGGAAAGAAUGAUUGCAUCACUUGCGCCAGUUGAGAUCCCAGCCCAUCUGAUUGAUCUCCUUGCAGAUACAUUUUUAACUCACUCCCACCAUAGCUCUAUCUCUUAACCAGCAGUGCCCCCACAAUAUACAACCCCAAAAAAGGAAAAAGCGAAUAACGAAAAAGCUAAAUCAUUUUCCCCAUACAGCUUCACAAUACCAACCACUCGCACAACAUAGUCAUCUUAACAUCUUCCUUGGCCAGUAUUCAUCUCGCCAGCCCACCCAAUAACCUAGUUCCAGCAUAAAUUCCCCAAUCACUCUGAAUGAGAGGGACACAAAAACAAAAGGCGAGAUGGUGAAAACAAACACAGCUGAAAUUUCCAACAUCAUCCAACAACCUGACCCUCGUUGCACUCAUACGCCCUCCCAAAACCUUUCCAACUUAGUGCAAGGCUUCUGAUGGACAACCAGAUUCCAAAACUUUUGCAGAGUUCUCGAAUUAUUAAAAGGAUAAGACUUCUAAAUUCAAGGGGAACUGGUCAUAGGACAUUACAUCUUGCAUGAACU